rnacentral:SRP_RNA from 1 species
GCUGGGCGUGGUGGUGCACGCCUGUAAUCCCAGCUACUCAGGAGGCUGAGGCAGGAGAAUCGCUUGAACCCGGGAGGCAGAGGUUGCAGUGAGCUGAGAUUAUGCCACUGCACUACAGCCUGGGUGACAGAGCGAGACCCUGUCUCAA